rnacentral:rRNA from 1 species
GAUGCAGCCUGCCGCGUGAGUGACGAAGGUCUUCGGAUCUUCUAGCUCUGUUAUCGGAGAAAAACACGGACCGUCGUAACUGGAAUUCCGCUGACGGUAUCCGACCACAAAGUCUCGGCUAAAUACGUGCCAGCAGCCGCGGUAAUACGUAGGUGACAAGCGUUGUCCGGAUUUAUUGGGCGUAAAGCGAGCGCAGGCGGUCUUUUAAGUCUGAUGUGAAAGCCCACGGCUCAACCGUGGAUGGUCAUUGGAAACUGGAAGACUUGAAUGCAGAAAAGGAAAGUGGAAUUCCAUGUGUAGCGGUGAAAUGCGUACAUAUAUGGAGGAACACCAGUGGCGAAGGCGACUUUCUGGUCUGUAAUUGACGCUGAGGCUCGAAAGCGUGGGGAGCGAACAGGAUUAGAUACCCUGGUAG